rnacentral:snoRNA from 1 species
AAGACUAUACUUUCAGGGAUCAUUUCUAUAGUAUGUUACUAGAGAAUAGAGAAACUUCCAAUGGAGGGAAGGAGAAAUGGAAUUCUGGUGAUGGGACUUGUACCCCUGUAACCACAAU